AGAGGAACCACAGAUUCAGACAUUUGGUGUAUGUGCUUGGCUGAGGAACCAAUGGGGCCGAAAUGAUCUCAGCCUAUUCUGGAACUUUAAAUGGGGUGAUUGACCCAGACUAUCAAGAUUAAAUCAGUCUACUACUCCACAAUGGAGGUAAGGAAGAAUAUGCGUGGAAUACAGGAGAUCUCAUAGGCUGUCUCUUGGUAUUACCAUGCCUCCUGAUUAAGUUCAAUGGGAAACUACAACAGCCCAAUCCAGGCAGGACUACAAAUGGCCCAGACCCUUCAGGAAUGAAGGUUUGGGUCACUGCAGCAGGUAAAACUCCAUGACCUGCUGAGGU
rnacentral:lncRNA from 1 species